rnacentral:misc_RNA from 1 species
AACUGAUACUACCUGCGGGAACCUGCGGAGGGAUCAUUAUCGAAUCGCUCUCCUUGCGCUGUGCGUCUCGCUCGCACGCGCGGGGGCUUUUCCACACACACCUGUGCACUUUCCGGCGCCUCGCGGCGUCGAGCAUUUUUUCAUUUUAACGCAUGUAAUAUGAAUGUACAGUCUUUGCUUUAAUGCAUGACAACUUUCAACAAUGGAUCUCU